GUGUAAGGAAGAACAGAAGGAUCCAAGUGUGAGAAAGCCCACCCUGAGUCUCUCAGAGAUUCAUUUCACUACCAGGUCAAAGACACAAUCAAAAGCCCGACAAAUGGAAUUUGUGGAAUUGGAACAAAAAGCUUUUCUUCCUAGGCACAAGAACAUCAAAGCAUAAAUCCUUCAGGUAUCAGCAAUGACAUCACUUAAGAAUUUCUCAGAAUCUUUGGCACCACCCCAGGCCUACCGGAUCAGAAUCUGAAUUUUUUAACAAGAUCUCAGAUGAGCAAGGAGAGACUCAGAGGAAGUCAGCGUUACUCGAUUAGAAAGUGACUGUGGCACUACCAUAGUAGUAAAAUCUACCAUGGCAGAGAAAAUGCCAUAUGUUCACCUUGCCAGUCGUUUUUCUUUUUCCUCCUGGGUUUAUAGGAAGAUGGCAGCCCCUGGCUCCCCUGCAAUCAGGCAGGGCCAUGUGACUGAGUCUUAGCUCACCAAUGUGGGAGAAAGUGAUGUGUGACACAUUAAGGCCAGGCCACUGAAACCUCUCAUGGGAACUUCCAUACUCACUUCCCUCAUCUGCUAGCCAACCCAAAAGAUUGAGUGGAGGAUUUUACAGCCCCAGGGCCUAGAGAUGCUGGAAAGAAGCCUGAUUCAGCCCUGAAUGAACCUGUGCAAAGGUGCCUCUGACCUCCAACCCUUGUUGGACUAGGAUGUUGGAAAAUACUGUGUUAAGCUACUGGGAUUUCAAAGUUGUUUGUCAUAGCAGCUAGCCAUAUUUACUCUACCUGAUAGAUCUAUGUUCUGUAAUUACAGUGUUUGCCUUUCAUGUCCUAAGGGUAAAUAAGUGAUAUAUGCAACAAUAAACUGUGAUGUACUAUAUAUUGUUUUUAUUACAUUAAAAUUCUUAAAAUUUGCUUUUUCA
rnacentral:lncRNA from 1 species